AAGCAUCUCUUUUGCCCCAUACACAGAUUAUCUCCUCAUCCCACCUCGAAUUCCGCCUGCAGAGCUGAGACGAUGGCCAUGAAUGCUGCCACAAUCCCACCUCACGUGUGCACCUCGUAGUCACUACUUUUCCUCCAGACAUUUUCUCAAGCCAGAAGAAUGAGCACAGCCCACAUCUGAAGCAGCCUGAGAGGCUGGGCCUGCAGGGGAGAUACCGGCCCUAUGGAAGGCAGUUGGUGGGCAAAAGUCCGGUUUCUACGCUUUGAGGGGACACCUGUGGGGCACCCUGAGGCCCAGCCCUGCUGGGUGAGUAUGGCGCCUCAUCCACCCACGAGAAACCUGGAAUAGAAUGAAAGGGCCGUCCCUCCUCUGAGAAACGGGGGACUCUGCUGGCUGAUGGCCCCCACCUGGAAUGCUGGCUCUUCCUGCCCAGCUGCCUUCAAGCUGGGACAUUAGCUUUCUGCUGCCUUCAGACUCUAACUGGAACAUCUCUUCCUGGGUCUCCAGCCUGCUGGCCUUUGGACUGGAGCUACACCAUCAGCUCUCGGAGGUCUCCACUCGCCAACUCACCCUGCAGAUCACGGAACUUGUCAGCCUCCAUAACUGCAGGAGCCAAUGCCUUAUAAUAAAAUCUCUUUCUCUUGUCUUUUCUCUUUCUCUCUCUCUAGAUAGAUAGAUGUAUGAAACAAGGAAGCAGAAAAGAAAGAAUGAUAGAAGAUAGACGAUAAAUAGAUAGAUAGAUGGAAAAAGGAGGAAGAAAAAAAAGG
rnacentral:lncRNA from 1 species